rnacentral:rRNA from 1 species
UACGGGGGGGGCAAGCGUUGUUCGGAAUUACUGGGCGUAAAGGGCUCGUAGGUGGCCAACUAAGUCACACGUGAAAUCCCUCGGCUUAACCGGGGAACUGCGUCUGAUACUGGAUGGCUUGAGUUUGGGAGAGGGACGCGGAAUUCCAGGUGUAGCGGUGAAAUGCGCAGAUAUCAGGAGGAACACCGGUGGCGAAGGCGGAUCUCUGGGCCUUACCUGACGCUCAGGCGCGAAAGCUAGGGGAGCGAACAGG